rnacentral:rRNA from 1 species
UACAGAGGGUGCAAGCGUUGUCCGGAUUUAUUGGGCGUAAAGAGCGUGUAGGCGGCCACACAGGUCUGCUGUGAAAACUCGAGGCUCAACCUCGAGCUGUCGGUGGAAACCGUGUGGCUAGAGUCCGGAAGAGGAGAGUGGAAUUCCCGGUGUAGCGGUGAAAUGCGCAGAUAUCGGGAAGAACACCCGUGGCGAAGGCGGCUCUCUGGGACGGUACUGACGCUGAGACGCGAAAGCGUGGGGAGCAAACAGG